rnacentral:rRNA from 1 species
CGAUACACUCUUAUCCACAUUCCUCUUCUUCCUUGGUCUGAACUCAAGCUCGCGCCGAAGCUUUCCAUGUCCCUCUGCUGCUCCUGCUCCUCCAGCAUCUAGGCUCGGUGCCCACCGACGCCGAGCGGAUCUCGUCGCACUGCCGUGCAGCUUCCACUCGGGCGAGCGCACCCGCGCAUCUCACCUCAUCCCGGCUCGGCUGGCCGCCGCCCGCGUGCGCCUGCUGGACCUCCCUCCCGGCUAGGCUGGCCGCCGACCUCCUGCGCCUGCUAAACCUCCCUCCGGCUAGGCUGGCCGCCGGCCUCGUGCGCCUCCUAGACCAGCAUCUCCGUCUCGGCUGGCCGCCGCACUGGUGCACCUGCUGGAACUGGCCGUGCAGCAGCUCGGUCGGAACGGGAUCCUCCGCGGCGCCGUCCUCGCUAAUAUGAGUCGCGGAUCCUAGCGGUAGCAUGUGGGACGGCCAAGCAAGAGGGCGGCGGCGUGUCCUUGGCAGGCUGGUCCUCGGGCUUGUGGAGGAGGGGUCAAGAGGCGAGAAGAAGGAAGUCGAGGAUAGUAGCAUGAGCGCCAUCUAUUUGGUACUCGGAGAGGAAGAAGAAAGGGAUUGCAGCUCAUACAUACAGCAUUACCUCCGCUGAACAGAGAUUCUGGCCAUGGUUUGUUGUACAAGUUCCACAAGGGUGCAUGGUACUGCUUUGUUAUGCUUCAUACAUGCUACUUCUUUCUGUCCAACACUCGGGAUUGUGUCGCAGUUAAUGAUUGAUCGGCACCCUCCUGGUUCGAUGGACCACUCCUCGGAGAAGCCAUCAGAGGCGCGGAUUCCUUUGCUGCACAAUUCAAGAGAAGAAAAGAAGAAUCCCUGUGCUUCGCCCAGGAUUGUUGUGUGCGUUAAGACUGUAGGUCACCUCCGCCGGCCGCCUCCUAUGAGCAGUAAUUUUGCAUUUUGGCGCGUGUAUUCUGUGCAUCUGUUUCGCGGGUGAUUGUAAUUAUUUCCUUCCGUUCUGUAUUCAGUUUUAAUGAUGAGAGUAUUACGGAAGGGAAUCAGUAUUAUGAUCUGUAUUUGUUUUUCUUUUUGGAUGAAAAAA